AUCUGUGGGAGGAAACUCAGCUGGAGUGACGGGUGGUGUGGACAGCUGCUGUACAGCAUGGGAGGGGUGUAAGCUGAAUGGAACAGAGGACGUGUGUGUGUGUGUGUGUGUGUGUGUGUGUGUGUGUGUGUGUGUGUGUGUCUACACCCAUGUCCCUCCCCGUGCCUACACCUUGAUUCUGCUUGAUCAGGUAGGUUCUGUGACCCCCACCUCCAGCCCACCAUCCUAAAAAGAAAAGCCAAGCUUCCGUGACUCCCUUUUUUGUGGCACUGCGCUGAGAGGCCCCAGGGGCAGCAUCAACGGGGAAAUAAAAGAAUGUGUAUUUAUUUUUAUUACAUUCUAUUCCA
rnacentral:scRNA from 1 species